UGGGGAGUACGAUCGCAAGGUUGAAACUCAAAGGAAUUGACGGGGGCCCGCACAAGCAGUGGAGCAUGUGGUUUAAUUCGAUGCAACGCGAAGAACCUUACCUGGGUUUGAAAGGCUCUGUAAACCGGUGAAAGCCGGCUAGUGUAGCAAUACACACGGAGUACAGGUGCUGCAUGGCUGUCGUCAGCUCGUGCCGUGAGGUGUUAGGUUAAGUCCUGCAACGAGCGCAACCCCUGCACUUAGUUGCCAUCAGGUUAUGCUGGGCACUCUAAGUGGACUGCCUACGCAAGUAGUGAGGAAGGUGGGGAUGACGUCAAGUCCUCAUGGCCCUUACACCCAGGGCCACACACGUGCUACAAUGGCCACUACAAUGGGCUGCAAAAUCGCAAGGUUGAGCCAAUCCCAUAAAAGUGGUCUCAGUUCGGAUUGAGGGCUGCAACUCGCCCUCAUGAAGCUGGAAUUGCUAGUAAUCGCGGAUCAGCACGCCGCGGUGAAUACGUUCCCGGGCCUUGUACACACCGCCCGUCAAGCCAUGGAAGCUGGGGGUACCCGAAGCCGUUCACCCAGCCGCAAGGAGGGAAACGUCUAAGGUAAAAUCAGUGACUGGGGCUAAGUCGUAACAAGGUAGCCGAAUCGA
rnacentral:rRNA from 1 species